UGGCCUACGGGGGGCAGCAGCCGCGGUAAUACGGAGGGUGCGAGCGUUAAUCGGAAUCACUGGGCGUAAAGCGCUCGUAGGCGGUAUGUCAAGUCAAGGGUGAAAUCCCCGCGCUCAACGUGGGAACUGCCUUUGAAACUGGCAAACUGGAGUGUGUGAGAGGAUAGUGGAAUUCCAGGUGUAGGAGUGAAAUCCGUAGAUAUCUGGAGGAACAUCAGUGGCGAAGGCGACUAUCUGGCACAUAACUGACGCUGAGGAGCGAAAGCGUGGGUAGCAAACAGGAUUAGAAACCCGAGUAGUCCCCA
rnacentral:rRNA from 1 species